UAGUGUGUCGACUUCUGACUUGGCUCAUC
rnacentral:piRNA from 1 species